GACGAACGCUGGCGGCGUGCCUAAUACAUGCAAGUCGAACGAGUGGCGGACGGGUGAGUAAUGUCUGGGAAACUGCCCGCUGGUGGGGGAUAACUACUGGAAACGGUAGCUAAUACCGCAUACCCUCGGAUGUGCCCAGCUGGGUUUAGCUAGUAGGUGGGGUAACGGCUCACCUAGGCGACGAUCCCUAGCUGGUCUGAGAGGAUGACCAGCCACACUGGAACUGAGACACGGUCCAGACUCCGACGUGAGGCAGCGUUGGGGAAUAUUGCACAAUGGGCGCAAUCCUGAUGCAGCCAUGCCGCGUGUAUGAAAAAGGCCUUCGGGUUGUAAAGUACUUUCAGCGAGGAGGCGUUACUCGCAGAAGAAGCACCGGCUAACUCCGUGCCAGCAGCCGCGGUAAUUC
rnacentral:rRNA from 1 species